GCAUUAUCCAAACUUCUGUUUACAUCUUAUCGAAAUCAGAUGCAGCUGUUUUACAUGCUGCUGGGAAUUUUUGACGUUGCCCACUAUGCACACGUGCAUCUGGUGUAAUUUUUUACACUGCUCUGAAAAAAAAUUGCAAGUAUAGGGCACAUUGAGUACCUUUUGCCUCCUUUCCAUGUCUUUCUCUGCUUGCAGCGCUAAUGCACAUUCCUCAGCUUUAGGGGUGGCAUUGUGAUUUGCAUUGCAUUCACUUGAAUAAAACUGUACAACUGUAUCCCAUGUCUUAGCUUUGGUUCAGUGGGGAAGAAAGCUACUGCUAAGGCAUUGCAGUGUUUUAGAAGUCAUAAAAGGAAUGUCUGAACACUGCUGUUUUUAACUUCUCUUCUGUAACCACUUGCAGGUGUCAACGUUUGCACAACCAAGUCAAAGGAUGGCAACUGCUGGGCAGUGUUAGUUGUUACAAAGAUCAUGCAGCGGACGCAAGGCUUGGAAUCUGCAAGCGAGAUCAUAUUUUUGGACUCAACAGCCUCCUGCGAUGAGUCACAGGCUACCGUUACAGUAGCACUCGCAGCUACUCCAGUUGGUGCUUUACCGAUUGCUGUGCUUAUGCACAAUUCUCAGACAACGGAGAGCUACAAGACAGCCUUUGGCCUCUUGAAACAGAAAUAUCCCUUCUGUUUUGGUGGCUUACAUACCCCACAGUCAUUCAUGACUGAUAAUUCAGCGGCAGAAAAAGCAGCUCUGCAAGCAGUGUGGCCUGAAGCAACUCAGUUCCUCUGCCAUUUUCACGUGGCCCAGGCAGAAUGACGUUGGCUGCAUGCAUCGAGCAACAAGAUCAGCCAUGACGAGAGACGGGAGCUGAUGACUGCGUUCCAGAAGGUGAUGUAUGCGUCAUCGGUGAAAGAGACUGCCACCGAAGAGUUACAGCAGAAGCCUCAGCGUGCAUAUGUGACACGCGUAAAAACAUUCCUUGAAAGGAAGGAAGAGUGGGUGCUCUUUUUUCGGUUGGGCCUUAUAACAAGAGGCCACAACACGAACAAUUACGCAGAAGCCACCAUUCGUUUAUUGAAGGAUGUGGUACUUGGCAGGCAAAAAGCCUAUAAUGUAGUUGCCCUUGUGGACCUUGUGGCGACAGUCUGGGAGGGCUACUUUUCAAGGAGGCUGCUCAAACAUGCGUACAACCGUGUGGCAGCUCACCAAGUGUUCUACGAGAAGCUUGUGCAAAACAUGCCCGAAAGUGCUGCGCAGUCGAUCCGUGCUCUUGGCGAUAGCAUGUAUGAGGUGCCCAGUGCGCAGGGAGACGGCAAGACCUAUCACGUUUGGCAAGACGUCGGCACUUGCACCUGUGGAAGUGGCCAACAAGGGGCAUUCUGCAAACAUCAAGCCCUUGUACACAGCAUGUUUGGAGGAGGGUUUCCAAAUGCCCCAGUACUAACGACUGAGGACCGGCACAAGUUGGGUGUCCUUGCCUUGGGUGAUAGGUGCCCUGACAAAAGUUUUUUUGGAAGCUUCCGCGAGGUACUGCCAGAUCUCCCGUCCACCAGCACUGCUCAGGAAGCACACAGCCAGCAUGUGCUUGAUGCUCAGGAUGAGCCAAUGGAUCUUGAUGAAGAUCACAUGGAGGGCGUGAAUUCCAACGAGCAACGCCAUCAGGAUGCUGCCGAGGUGCUGAAACAAAUCCAUCAGGAGGAGUGGCGUUUUUACUCCUUGGCUGCAGACAACCCAUACUACCUCACUCUACUUGAACAGGUGCUGGCAGAAAUGAAGAAAGUGCACAAGGAACCUCAAGUGAUGGCUUCUUACUUUGCCCAGAAGGCUGCUUUUGCAACAGGCCUUCAGUUCCUCAACAAAAGUCAGCCAAGUGGUCAGCACGUGUUCAUGGUUCUCGAACCAAAGCAGGGCGGUCCCGGCGAGAAGAAUGCCACGUUCACGAGCUUCGCCGACUACUCCAUUCGUGAUAGCGGCUCACUCUUUCGUAGUGCUUUAACCAAUUGUCCACGUCUUCAUCGGUCCUACCUGAGAAUAUGCGUGGCUCAGGUGCCCAGUAGCUAG